AAAUAACCAACUUUUCAAAAAAAAAUUCAAAAUAAUCAUGUUUGGGAGAGGAUGCACCAGGGAUGUUGGUGCACCCCCUAAAAAAUUAGAGGAGGCGCCAGAUGUAUUGGCGCCAAUGCAUUGGGCUCCUAAAGGACGAGUCAAUGCAUGUGGCGCCUACUUAUAUUUUUUUCUAUUUUAAUAUUUUUUAAUUAUAUUUUUUUUCUAAUAUUUUUUGUUUUUAAUAUUUAAAAUUUAUUAUUUAAUACAUAAUAAAUAAAAAUAAAAAUAAAACAACUUCAUUAAAU
rnacentral:lncRNA from 1 species